rnacentral:lncRNA from 1 species
UAGAUUUUACAGAAUGUUAUUUUCGAACUGUGCACUAUGAGACGCAGCUAACAUGGUGGUUUGCUGCUGCUACAUUACAAUUUCACUGAAUCCAUAUGAAAUCGCAAUAUUUAAUACUAUUAUAAACACGACAGCUGCACUUAAACACUGCUGGCUCUCUUUGGCAAUAUUGCCGGUUUCCAUUUUAGACCAGAUCAUGGUGAAGCGAUUAAAAGUUGUUCGUAACGGAAGGAUGUACGGGGAGCAUGACAUGGCUGUACGAAGGAAAAGUGGUCCCAACAGUUUACUAUGGGACGACGUGUGCCCAGCGGAUUAUUAAUUAUUAUUAAUACCUCACUUGCUCUGCAUAUUUCUGUUUCAAACAUUUUGCCACUUAUUGAAGGACCUUACUAGUAUCAUUCUUACUAGCUAAUCUUUUAAACAGUUUUGUCUUUCUACAUACAAAGGUGAGUCGAAAUUUUGUAAUUUUCUUUUCUGUGAUCUUUUACUUUUAUUGAAGUUACUUCAAAGUCUAUUUAUUACCAAGAAGCGAAAUAUUAACAUCGGUGGACAUUCUUAAUAUAAUGAAAAUUUAGAAUGGCUAAUUAGUGUUCUCUGGGUUCGAACUGUAAAUAUAUGUGACCGUUUGACAUACUUAACGUAAAGGCGUGUACAUGUUUAUAUUGUUCUGUAACUCUGAACAGUUUUUAAAAAUCAGCUAUUUCUUCCUCUAACCCGUAAUCAUACUAUCAGUCUCUUACUGUGCUACAGAUAAGAUAUUUCAUUUUCCGAAAGAGCAUCACGCCACUUCAGUACACAUUCCAAAUCUGGUACUGAAACUAUCUGCAGUUGUCGAGUUGUUGACAUAGACAUUUAUUCGUAACUGUUUUCGAACAAUUCCUCUUUUAGGACCUUUAUUCUCCUUUUCAUACAGUCUAUUUAUGAUCAUACUACGGAUCAUGCUUAUAAAGUAACUUCGUUAACCUCUCCAGUACUGUUACCGUGAUUGUAUUUUCGUUUACAUCCAUUCAAUUCACAAUUUGUAUUAUACUCAUCUUAUCAAUGCACCCACCUUUAUGUGUUACUAAUUUCGUAAACCUAAACCUCAUUAACUUUAAUUUAAUAUUACUUAGUAUUUUAUCCCUUUAUCAUUAACUUGUUUUUGCUAACUGAAACGAUAUGCUUAAUCCAUUCUGUCAAAGUUUUACCGUUUCUUUUUUCCUUUCAAGCCGAGCGCUUGAUUAUAAAACUAAUAAACGAAAAAGUAUUUUUAUUUUGUAACUUCUGUCUUCGCAAAUUUUUCAAAAAUUUUGUGCGAUUAGUAAGUUACAAGUCGUUGAUAUAUUUUCUUGAAGCCUACCAGGCCGAUGUUUUCAUGUGUAAUGAAGUUAGGUAUUCAAAACAAAGUAGCAGUUAUUAAUUAAUACGCUGUUUUGUAAUGUAAUGCAUGCCUGCAUUAGAUCAACACUGCUCUUAAUUCGAAUUACCAUUGUUGAUUUUCAAGCUUGUUCUUAUGUACGAAUAAUCAUGAUGGAAUAUAUUUUCAUUCAAUAUGAAAUAAAUCUCCCCUCCCUCCAUC